rnacentral:SRP_RNA from 1 species
GCUGGGCAUGGUGGCCCAUGCCUGUAAUCCCAGCACUUUGGGAGGCUGAGGUGGGUGGAUCACUUGAGGCCAGGAAUUUGAGACCAGCCUGGCCAAUAUGGUGAAACCCUGUCUCUA